rnacentral:rRNA from 1 species
UGUAAGCGUAUACCAAAGUUGUUGCAGUUAAAACGCUCGUAGUCGGAAUUUGGCAGUUCCGGAUGUGUGCACGUCGUGUGCGCACUUCGCGGGGAUUGCUUUUGUGGUCUUGCGUAGGAUGAGGCACUUUUAUUAGUGAACGUCCUCACGCAACCACUUUUUACUGUGAGAAAAUCAGAGUGCUCAAAGCAGGCAUUUGCCGUGAAUGUAUUAGCAUGGAAUAAUAGAAUAGGACUUGGUUCUAUUUUGUUUGUUUGUUGGGACUGAGUAAUGAUUAAGAGGGACAGUUGGGGGCAUUUGUAUUUCGGUGCUAGAGGUGAAAUUCUUAGAUUACCGAAAGACAAACUGCUGCGAAAGCGUCUGCCAAGGAUGUUUUCAUUGA